rnacentral:rRNA from 1 species
UACGUAGGGGGCAAGCGUUGUCCGGAUUUAUUGGGCGUAAAGAGCGUGUAGGCGGCCACACAGGUCUGCUGUGAAAACUCGAGGCUCAACCUCGAGCUGUCGGUGGAAACCGUGUGGCUAGAGUCCGGAAGAGGAGAGUGGAAUUCCCGGUGUAGCGGUGAAAUGCGCAGAUAUCGGGAAGAACACCCGUGGCGAAGGCGGCUCUCUGGGACGGUACUGACGCUGAGACG